rnacentral:rRNA from 1 species
GAUGAACGCUGGCGGCGUGCCUAAUACAUGCAAGUCGAGCGGUAAGGCCUCUUCGGAGGUACACGAGCGGCGGACGGCUGAGUAACACGUAGGAACGUACCCCAAACUGAGGGAUAACUGCUCGAAAGAGUAGCUAAUACCGCAUGUGCUCCAAGGAGUAAAGCUACGGCGGUUUGGGAACGGCCUGCGUCCGAUUAGCUUGUUGGUGAGGUAAUGGCUCACCAAGGCGACGAUCGGUAGCUGGUCUGAGAGGAUGAUCAGCCAGACUGGGACUGAGAACGGCCCAGACUCCUACGGGAGGCAGCAGUAGGGAAUUUUCCACAAUGGGGGCAACCCUGAUGGAGCAACGCCGCGUGCAGGAUGAAGGCUUUCGGGUCGUAAACUGCUUUUAUUUGUGACGAAUAUGACGGUAGCAAAUGAAUAAGGAUCGGCUAACUCCGUGCCAGCAGCCGCCGUAAAAC